AAUUCUUAUUUUCAAUGAGGGCGUACCCCGUCCAAACCUGGACGACGCUGGGCCAUUUGUGCGCCGCCCUAUGGGACUCCCAAUCACGGCCGGUUGUGAUACAGCCUGGAAUCGAACCAGGGUGUCUGUAGUGACGCCUCUAGCACUGAGAUGCAGUGCUUUGGAGCCCUGAUAUGAUAGGAUAUUAUACGAUUGACAUGAUGGGAAUAUGAUUGGAUAUGGAUAGAGAUGAUUUUGCAACAGUGAUAGUGUACAACACAGGGAUAUGUUUAAAGAAUGUCCAAAUUGUCCUAAUGAUGAUGUUAUAUAAUAGCCUAGAACAGAUUAGAGUGGAAUAGAGUAGAAUAGAAUGUUCUGAAGAGUUCACAUUGUUUAAAUUAUUAAAGGUGUGAUUAUAUUUGGGGUUUCGCUUAAGUAAGCAUAUCACAUUUCUUUUUAAUAUAAAUUGAAAUGUUCAUAGUUGGUAUCCUUGAUGCCGUUAGUAAAUAAAACAAGACGCUUGCUGUCAGAAAUAAUGGGCUUCCUCCUUUGAUAAACUACUUUCGAGUCAGCUUGUAUGGCCAAAGAGUGGCUUGGGGUAUUCUUCUAGAAAACGAAUAAUUUUCUCACUGAUGAUGAACACUCAGAACAAUGAACAGCGGGCAGUUCAGCACAAGUGCCGCUGAAGGGUCCAUCGGUUACUACCGAACUGCGGGAGAGAAUGCGGGAAAGAAAAUGCGUCUCCAAGGCAACUGAAUUAGGAAGUAUUUCAGCGGGUGAAAUGAAUGGAAGACUAAAUAGGCCUAUAAAUGUAAUCAGUAACUGAUUCCACCGCUGAGGAGGGGGAGGAGGAGGAGGAGAAGAAGAAGGAUGAUGACGAUAGCGGUGACGAUGAUAAAGACAAAGGGCAACCAGGACGCGUCUACUGAGGGGAUCCUGCUAGUGACUGAGAAACACGUUUCUGUCCACCAAUGGCCAGUCGGGGAACAGGCUUCCCGCUCCAUCAACCGCCUCUGCGCGUAUUUGUACGAGGCACAGAGAACAGGCACAGGUGCACAUUCAGCCACAGUGAAUUGAAGGGAUAACAUCACGAGGAGAUUGCUGGGGGAUUUCAGGAGGAAGAGGAGACAUUGCUCCAGCCAGAGGGUAAGGAGGUGUUAUCAACAUUGUACACAUUCCCAUUUACAGCAACGACCUGGGGAAUAGUUACAGGGGAGAGGAGGGUUAGUUGGCAGUGUAAUGUAACAUGUGAUUGGUUAGUAAGCAGUGUAAUGUAGAAUGUGAUUGGUUAGUAGGCAGUGUAAUGUAACAUGUGAUUGGUUAGUAGGCAGUGUAAUGUAACAUGUGAUUAGUUAGUAGGCAGUGUAAUGUAGAAUGUGAUUGGUUAGUAGGCAGUGUAAUGUUAACUGACUGUUAUCUGAUUCGUCAGCUCACGCUACAGCUGCCCUCUAAACUCUCACCUGAAACUCCGCCUCCACCUGGGUGUGAACUCUGCAUGCAGGGGUUUUCUCCAACCCUGCACUACCACACCUGAUCCUAUUACUCCGCUCUUCCUUGUGACAUUGAUUAGCUCAGGGAUGGGCAACUCCAGUCCUCAGGGGCCUGAUUGGUGUCACACUUUUGCCCCACACAUCAAUAAUCAACUAAUCAUGAUGUUCAGUUAAUCAACUGAGGACUGGAUUUGCCAUCCUUGGGUUAUCUGAAUUAGGUGUUAGAGCAGAGCUGAAUUAGGUGUUAGAGCAGAUCUGAAUGAGGUGUUAGAGCUGAAUUAGGUGUUAGAGCAGAGCUUGAUUAGGUGUUAGAGCAGGGC
ensembl:lncRNA